rnacentral:rRNA from 1 species
GACGAACGCUGGCGGCGUGCUUAACACAUGCAAGUCGAGCGGUAAGGCCCUUUCGGGGGUACACGAGCGGCGAACGGGUGAGUAACACGUGGGUGACCUGCCCUCAGCUCUGGGAUAAGCCUGGGAAACCGGGUCUAAUACCGGAUAUGACUCCAUGACGCAUGUUGUGGGGUGGAAAGCCUUGUGCGGCUGAGGAUGGGCCCGCGGCCUAUCAGCUUGUUGGUGGGGUGAUGGCCUACCAAGGCGACGACGGGUAGCCGGCCUGAGAGGGCGACCGGCCACACUGGGACUGAGACACGGCCCAGACUCCUACGGGAGGCAGCAGUGGGGAAUCUUGCGCAAUGGGCGAAAGCCUGACGCAGCGACGCCGCGUGGGGAUGACGGCCUCGG